AGAGCAGAUCCAAAUGCAGCGAUCGAUAAUCAUACACUUACAAGUUGUCUCUCCUGCUACAGCAGUGCUUAAGUAAUCAUCACCAAAAUGCCCCGGACCCAUCUCUCCCAGCACAUAUUUCUUGUACAUUCCCGGAGCUCCUGUUGAGUUCAGUGAGAGCUCCAGGCGCCCAGGGUGGCAGGGCAGUGGCACACGGAGUACUCACUGAUUUAUAUUUGCAUGGCUUUCGAGCUAAUCAGCAAAAAGAGCUCAUCGAUCUUCUCUUCCCUAGGAAGUUGGACCACAUUAUUAUUCUUAUUUCUUGGGUGAGGAAAACUGAGGGAAAGGAGCUUCCCAAAGUGAGGAGACUGGAAAGAAAGAAAGAAAGAAAGAAAGAAAGCAAGAAAGCUGCUUCCUGAUGACCCCAAAGUAAUGUGUGACAUCUGACCUUCUACCUGAUGGCACUGAGCAUUUUGAUGACUCCACAAAGACGGCAUUUUAAGGAGAUGCUCACACCAGUGGGAAACAUUGCCACUCCAUUACAAAAGACCAAGUCCCUGAAGGACCAAGGCAGGUCAAGGGUUGGAUGGGAUUGAAGUUGGAUUGGGGCCUCCUGAGGACAUCAGCUUUGGCAAUCUUUUGUCUCCUGGAAGAUUGUCGUGAGCGGGGAGGAGAAAUUGGGGCUUGCUGGUGACACUCACAGGGCAGUUUGGAGGCCAGGUAAGCAUUACACAGCAAUAAAAAAAUUGUGUAAAUGUGCAACUUCUCUCAUAUAAUUUCAAGGAAU